rnacentral:lncRNA from 1 species
UUUAAAAAUUAAAGCCCUUCAGCCUAGCAUUUAAGGUCCCCAAUAAAAAGGCCUAAAUCACCUUUUAUAAAUCUUCAUUUUGUCCAUCAUUUCCCAGCUACCUGUAUACUUCCUUCUGUAAGAUCUCCAGAGUCCACUAUGCCACAUCUCCCUGAGUAGCUCUGUGGCCCCAUCUAUCUGAACAUAGCUGAUUGGCAGGGAUAGACACCUGACCCAGCUGGAUUAAUCAGAUUAUCUGCCCAAGGAAUUUGGAUUUAAGACUCAGCAACUCAGCCCAAUCAAUUACCUAAUGUUACUGGCCCUGGAAGACAUUAUAGAUACAAGUGUGUGGCUGUCAUUUUGCAGCAGCUAUUUGUAUGCUGAGACCUGGAAGAAACGAGUACUCUGCAGAGAGAGGCAGGAAAAUGGGGCCAAAAUCCAGAAAAAGGUAGGAUCUUUGGGAAGUGAUUAAGUCAUGAUCAUGGAGCCCUUGUAAAUGGAAUUUGCAGUCUUAUAAAGAGACCUCAAUGAGCUACCUGGCCCUGUCUGCUUUGUGAGGACACAGUGAGAAGCCAGCCAUCUAUGUACCAGGAAGUGGGCCCGCAAUAGAGACUGAGUCUGUUAGGACUUUGAUGUGGGACUUUCCAGCCUCCAGAACUGUGAGAAAUAAAUUUCUGUUGUUUAAGAUAUCCAGUCUAUGCUAUUUUCUUAUAGCAGUCUAAACAGACUAUGACUGUCCUUUUCAGGGUAUUUUCAGUUGGUUAAGUGGUAGUGCCUGCUAGAUAGCUCUACUAUAAAAUUAUUAUUUUUUUGUAAUUGAUAAGUGUGUUGGGAGAAUAUGCUUUGAGACUGUGCAAAUAUCCUAUUUCUCCUCAAUAACGGAUAUGCUCUUAAUCAUCAUUCUAUACUUUCCCCACGUAGAAUAAUUUUUUGUUAGGAAUCAGGGACAUGAUCAUAGAAAAGAAAGAAUGUGAUCUGUCAAUCAAUUGAAGGAAAAAUAUUUUAAAAGUAUUAAUUCUUCUAUGAAUUUAGAGUGCCUGCAGAAAUAUCAGCUCGAUCUUUUCCC